UACGUAGGGGGCAAGCGUUGUCCGGAAUCAUUGGGCGUAAAGCGCGUGUAGGCGGCUAGGUAAGUCUGCUCUGAAAGCCCGGGGCUCAACCCCGGGAGGCGGGUGGAUACUGUCUAGCUCGAGUCCGGAAGAGGAGUGUGGAAUUCCUGGUGUAGCGGUGAAAUGCGCAGAUAUCAGGAGGAACACCAAUGGCGAAGGCAGCACUCUGGGACGUGACUGACGCUGAGACGCGAAAAGCGUGGGGAGCAAACAGG
rnacentral:rRNA from 1 species